rfam:Lachnospiraceae bacterium CAG:364 genomic scaffold, scf472
GAAAGGCUGCGUAAAAUCUAUAAUUAUUUGCGGCUGGAUGUAUAGAACCCCGUCAGUUUUAUAUAUCUCAAUUAGG